CCCCUCUUGGCCAAUGGAUAAGGCAUCGGUCUCCUAAACCGGGGAUUGCGGGUUCGAAUCCCGCCGAGGGUA
rnacentral:tRNA from 1 species